CUAUCUCAAAUUCUAUUGCUGAGGGAGAUAAAAUAAUGAAAAAUACUUGGCUAAACUGCUGGAAAAACUCUUAUUGUUUGUACCACUCUUGGAAAAGACUCUUGGGACUAGCAGUGGAAUCCUUGCUAUUGAUUGGCUGGUUAAAUAGAAGACUAUUAGCUUCAGACAGGCUGGAUUGAUUAUACAGCAGCAGCAGGAGCUAAGAUUCAGAGCUGAGUGAGCAUCAGGGUGAAAAGGAGAGAGAGAGAGGGAGAGAGGGAUGUAAGGUGCAGAGGGAGGCAGUGCACGUUCCGUAGCAUCUCUGUGACUGCUGGUGCCUGGUAAUCUUGCUUCCCAGCUCCCUCAGUCAACAACUUACUGAGGUGCCUUUUCUUUUACAAAAAGAUGUCAGCUCUGAGACCCAGCAAGAAAUAACAGACUUCACCUUGAAAUAGCUCGUCUUACUCCUGCAUCAUUAAAGUGGAUUUUGAAAAGAAAAGAAAAAUCAAGCCCUAUUCCAGUCUCUCUUCAUUUCAGCACUGAACAGAAACAGUUUUAUGCUCCAGCUCUGUGGUAGAAAGGAUGAAAGGAUGAAGGAGCUCUUGGGACUCAGCUGAUCCAGAGUGCCAGAAAAGACAAAUUGCAGCUUUAAACAGCUGGGAAAUAGUCACCAAAAUGAAUCACCCUUGCUAAGGUGGUAAUGGCUGAUUGCUCCGUGAUAAGCGACUCCAGAGGGAUUCUGUUGCCAGCAGCCUGAAGGUUGAGGACAAAAGCUCAGGAAGAAGUCUGAUUAACAACAGCCUGAAUUCUGGAUUGAAAUGUCUGUCUACAGAGGGCCCACUGAGCAAUCACAUCAAUUCUUAAAUAGAGGUUUCUAACUAAGCCUUUGGAAGUUAGGAAAUACAGCAGUGUCAACUCAGCAAUGCACAGGGUAUAGCCAUGAUAUGAAAGGCUGUACAAGAUGGUUAUCCCAUGAUUGAUUUUUAUGUGUUCAUGGACUAGAGAUGGUACUUUAAGAAAAAUAAUUACCUUUAUGAAAUAGUAUUACAGAUAAUGAUUUUUGUCAAACUUGAGG